AGGACGAACGCUGGCGGCGUGCCUAACACAUGCAAGUCGAACGCGCUCCAUUCGGUAGCAAUACUGAUGAAGAGCGAGUGGCGAACGGGUGAGUAGCACGUGAGCAACCUGCCCCGAAGACUGGGACAACACCGGGAAACCGGUGCUAAUACCGGAUAUCCCUAUCGGACCGCAUGAUCUGAUAAGGAAAUGGAUUCCGCUUCGGGAGGGGCUCGCGGCCUAUCAGCUAGUUGGUGAGGUAACGGCCCACCAAGGCAUCGACGGGUAGCUGGUCUGAGAGGACGAUCAGCCACACUGGGACUGAGACACGGCCCAGACUCCUACGGGAGGCAGCAGUGGGGAAUCUUGCGCAAUGGGCGAAAGCCUGACGCAGCAACGCCGCGUGGAGGACGAAGGCUUUCUGAGUUGUAAACUCCUUUCGGCAGGGACGAUAGUGACGGUACCUGCAGAAGAAGCACCGGCCAACUACGUGCCAGCAGCCGCGGUAAC
rnacentral:rRNA from 1 species